AUCACACUGAGACACAGGUAUCAGGUUAAUGAAAAACUUCGAUAUGUUUACUCAGGGGGUGGCAAGCCCCUUAUAAAGGCAAAAUACAUCAUAUGCAAAAAAUGUAGAUAACAGAAAGAAUACAUCUUUAAUUUGUUAAGUGUCUUAUCUAAUGCACAUCCUUCAAGGCGUGGUGUCACCAUCAUCCCGGGAUUUUACUCUGGAUGUAGGCGCCAUUUUGUUACACGAAGUAGUUAGUUGGUGGGAGGGGGUGCUCUAGCAGCCAUUUUGAGUAGAUAUUGAAUACAGGUAUACAUAGUAAAUAGACAUUUUACUAUCACUAAUUUACGUCGAUAACACUACAGCCCCUAACCCUCAAUUGCAGCCUCCAUAACCUACUCCACACCCUACUACAGUCCUUUAGUCCCCACUACAGCCCCCAUACUCUACUACAGCCCCUUACUGUAAAAUUGCAUCCUCCAUACCCUACUACAGCCCUAAAGCCCCUUUAAUCCAACAGCAGCCCCUAACCCAACUACAGCACCAAACCCCUCUCCUACAACUCCUUGUUCCCACUGCAACCACUAUCCCCAAAAGUAGCUCAUAUCCCCCACUAUAGCACUACGUACCCUACUACAGUCACAUACCCCCACUCCCACUGCAGCACCUAUCCCACACUACAGUACCUACCCCCAAAUGUAGCCCAGAUCCCCUACUACAGCCUCUAUCCCUCCAACUACAACCCAUAUUCUCUUACCACAGUCCCUACCCCCCACUAAAGCCACUCUUAUCCAAUUGAAGCUUAUAUGCCCCACACUACAGCCAUUUCCUCCAAUUGCAGCCAUUCACCAAUUCAAUUCAGCCCCUAACCCCAUACCACAGCCCAUAUCUCCCCACUAGAUAUCCUACCCCACCCAAUUACAACCCAUUCCCUCCACAACAGCCCCAAUAUAGCCCCUAACCAUCCUACUACAGCACCUAUCCCCCACUACAGCCCCUAUCACCCUAAUACAGCCCACUAACAGUGCCACUUCCGAGAUUAGGUUCUGGAUUUUCCCCUGGCACUAAUAAGCCACUUGAGCACAUAGAUGGACCUGAUUAGCUAUUUUGGGACACAUAUGGCACUGAGUAGCUGUAUGGGGACAGAGAUGGCACUGGGAACCAGCACUGAUAAGAUUUUUGGUGGAAAAGCUGGCACUGUAGUAAGUGGGUAACAUGCUACCUGGUGAAGUUGGGGAGCCCAAAGAGUUGGAGUAGUUUCCACAGAAAAUAGGUGUGGUUAAACAUGUUAUGUUUGUGAAGGGGAAUAGUUAGUUAUAUAGACAUGCCUACCUGGAUGGCGCCAAAAGUAUUAUUGAACCCAUCCACCAUGGACCCUAGA